rnacentral:lncRNA from 1 species
UUUUCAUAUAUUAUCACAGUGUGGCUACUAAAAAUUCUGUGAAUAAUUUAACCUCACUUUUAUUUUUAUUUUUUUUAUCUUUCAGAAAUGAAUUCCUUUAUUGCAAGAAAUUGUGAUUAUUUAUUGAUUCAGAAAGAAAACAGACUGAAGUUCUCUUGGGUCUUCUGAAUAACAUGUCCAACAGGCAUAAACAAUUGAGGAAAUUCUGUGUUUUAGUUGAAGAUACUUCAUCUUAAGAAGGCUCUGAUUAUAUUGAGACCUCCAAGGCUCAAAAGCCUUACACAUGUUUCCUAAAAAGGGCAUGAUUAAUGGUGUUUUAUGCUGUUCAUCACUAGAAGUAAUCCUUUUAACAAGAAACUCUUUCCUAGACCUAGAAGAUCAGAUGUGAUUCAGUAAGGUGAGUAUUGAUUAAAUAAUGUACCCAUCCACCUGGGAAUGAAGUUCAGAGAGUUUGUAGGAAAAAUUAGCCUAAAUUAUCACUGAAUAAAAAAUAAAUAUUAUUUAUUAAUACA